UUGGUGACCUACCCCAAAGUGUGGAAUAACAGUCCGAAAGGAUCGCUAAUACCGCAUGUGGUUAUCGGGUUUAGAAACUGAUAACUAAAGGAGCAAUUCGCUUUGGGAGGGACCUGCGUCCCAUCAGCUAGUUGGUGAGGUAACGGCUCACCAAGGCUACGACGGGUAGGGGACCUGAGAGGGUGACCCCCCACAAUGGAACUGAAACACGGUCCAUACACCUACGGGUGGCAG
rnacentral:rRNA from 1 species